rnacentral:lncRNA from 1 species
GAGCAAGCUUCCCCUGUGGCACCAUUCCAGGUCCAGAUUCUGGUUUGUAUUUCUUGCCACAUCACGAGAGAAUGGGAAAAGCAGAUGAAAGGUGAAAAACUGAAAAUGGGAAACGAACCGGCUAUGCCAUCUUAAAGAAGCAGGAACAAAACUGCAGCUUUGCCCAGCAGCCUCCCCACUGCAUGUUUGAAGCUGUAUCUGCCCAUAGCUCACCCACAGCACCGAGCGCAGACCUCCCUCCGUGAAGCACAUACACCGGCAGAUAAUCCAGAUCAGUUUACCUCUGUGUACCUGGCAGCAUGCUACUGUGCACUGACCAAGUAUCAGAAGAGUUUGUGGUUAAUUAGGAUCAGAUUAAUCCCUGCUGACUGCCUGUCUCUGUGUAAAAAGGGCACUAGAGGUUAGAAAGUAUUAAGUACCUUAAAUGUCUACUUGCAUAAUGUAAAAACCUACUGAAGAUCCAGACUUUGUGCUUGAAAGUGUUGAUGUGAAAUAAUUUACCCCUAGAGGCAUUUAAAUGUGUUUCUUAUCCUGUCAAAGCAAAAGAAUCCAUUAAAAAUUUCCCAGGAUAAAAUGUAAUAAAUACUUGACCAUGGAAAAAAAUAAACCUGCA